UAAUUUCCAGAUCCAUGACUUUGAAAUCGGAUUCAGAUUUUCAAACAUCAAGCAUAGAUGCAAAAAAAUUGAGCAAAUGUAAAUUCCAUGUGCACAGAAAAAACAAAAAGGGAAAUUUAACUUACAGACUGCCAUUAAUAAGAAUCUAGGAUGAAAUGUCAAUUAAGAUGUCUCUUAGAAACAAUCGCUUCUAACGGAGAAAGAAGAUAAAAGAGGAUCUGAAGAAGAUUGUGGAAGGAUUAGAUUGUUUGAGGGUUCCGUGAGGUGCAUAUAUAUACCGAAUGCAAUCGCAACUAAUGGAUAGGAUGACCAAGUAGUGUGCUGCUUAGAUAACUGGAUCGUCACUGCGCGAUCAAAGAGAAACGAAGAACACAAAGGGGUUCGCAUCGCAACUGAUUAGGGUUUCCGUAGAAGCUUGUGGUCGAUGGGCCGCAGACUAAGCGCAACACGAAGCCCACGUGAAGCCCGUUCGGACAGAACAAAGCUUUAGUGAAACGGUGCGGAUCCGAC
rnacentral:lncRNA from 1 species